rnacentral:lncRNA from 1 species
AUUCUGCUGUGACCUCUAGAGGCGACCACAUCGGUAAAUCGUAUUAUUUUAUGUAUUAAAUUUAUCUGGAAUAUACGUUUAUAGUUAUUCACACAAAUUUAUUACAGUAUCAGAAGCAUAAGAAAUGUUCGGAAUACGGCGUACGUUGAGUAUAUAAAAAAAUUUUCUCUUGUUUAUAAGUGUCGUCCCCUGAUGCGCGAAAAAAUAGAUAAAUAGCGUGAAAUAUUGCUUCCUGUGCUCAUUCUGCAGUGAUUUCUAGAGGCGGCCACAUCGGUAAAUCCUAUUAUUUUGAAUAUUAAAUUUAUCUGGAAUAUACUUCUAUAGUUAUUCACACAAAUUUAUUGCAGUAUCAGAAGUAAACUAGACAUUCAGAAUACUGUGCAAGUUGAGUUUAUAAAAGAAUUUUCUCUGGUUUAUAAGUGUCGUCCCCUCACGCGCAAAAAAUGGAUAAAUAGCGUCAAAUAUUGCCUCCUGUUCUCCUUCUGCUGUGACCUCUAGAGGCGGCCACAUCGGUAAAUCCUAUUAUUUAGAAUAUUAAAUUUAUCUGGAAUAUACUUCUAUAGUUAUUCACACAAAUUUAUUGCAGUAUCAGAAGCAUAAUAAAUGUUCAGAAUACUGUGCAAGUUGUUUAUAAAAAAAUUUUCUCUGGUUUCUAAGUGUCGUCUGCGCAUGCAAGAAGAAAAUGUAUGAAGAGUAUGUAAUAUUGGUUCCUACGCUCAUUCUGAAUUGACCUCUGGAAGCGGUCAAAUCUGUAAACCCAAUUAUUUUAAAUAUUAAAUUUAUCUGGAAUAUUCUUUUAUAUUUAUUCACACAAAUUUAAUACAGUAUCAGAAGCAUAAUUAAUGUUCAGAAUACUGCGUACGUUGAGUAUAUAAAAAAAAUGUUCUCUUGUUUAUAAGUUUCGUCUGUGCAUGCGCCAAAAAAGGGAUAACUAGGGUGAAAUAUUGGUUCCUGCGCUCAUUCUGCUCUGACCUCUAAAAGCGACCACAUCGGUAAAUCGUAUUAUUUUAUGUAUUAAAUUUAUCUGGAAUAUACUUUUAUAGUUAUUCACACAAAUUUAUUACAGUAUCAGAAGCAUAAUAAAUGUUCGGAAUACUGCGUACGUUGAGUAUAUAAAAAAAUUUUCUCUUGUUUAUAAGUGCGUCUGCGCAUGCGCGAAAAAUGGAUAAAUAGCGUCAAAUAUUGCCUCCUGUGCUCAUUCUGCUGUGACCUCUAGAGGCGACCACAUCGGUAAAUCGUAUUAUUUUAUGUAUUAAAUUUAUCUGGAAUAUACGUUUAUAGUUAUUCACACAAAUUUAUUACAGUAUCAGAAGCAUAAGAAAUGUUCGGAAUACGGCGUACGUUGAGUAUAUAAAAAAAUUUUCUCUUGUUUAUAAGUGUCGUCCCCUGAUGCGCGAAAAAAUGGAUAAAUAGCGUGAAAUAUUGCUUCCUGUGCUCAUUCUGCAGUGAUCUCUAGAGGCGGCCACAUCGGUAAAUCCUAUUAUUUUGAAUAUUAAAUUUAUCUGGAAUAUACUUUUAUAGUUAUUCACACAAAUUUAAUGCAGGAUCAGAAGCAUAAUAAAUGUUCGGAAUACUGCGUACGUUGGGUAUAUAAAAAAAUUUUCUCUUGUUUAUAAGUGAUUGUGAUUGAUAAAUAGCGUCAAAUAUUGCCUCCUGUGCUCAUUCUGCUGUGACCUCUAGAAGCGGUCACAUAUAAAUCCUAUUAUUUUGAAUAUUAGUGUCGUCCCCUCAUGCGCAAAAAAUGGAUAAAUAGCGUCAAAUAUUGCCUCCUGUGCUCAUUCUGAUGUGACCUCUAGAAGCGGUCACAUAUAAAUCCUGUUAUUUAGAAUAUUAAAUUUAUCUAGAAGAUACUUUUAUAGUUAUUCACACAAAUUUAUUACAGUAUCAGAAGCAUAAUAAAUGUUCGGAAUACUGCGUACGUUGAGUAUAUAAAACCAUUUUCUCUUGUUUAUAAGUGUCGUCUGCGCAUGCGCGAAAAAAUGGAUAAAUAGCGUGAAAUAUUGCUUCCUGUGCUCAUUCUGCUGUGACCUCUAGAGGCGGCCACAUGGUAUCAGAAGUAAACUAGAGAUUCAGAAUACUGUGCAAGUUGAGUUUAUAAAAGAAUUUUCUCUGGUUUAUAAGUGUCGUCCCCUCAUGCGCAAAAAAUGGAUAAAUAGCGUCAAAUAUUGCCUCCUGUUCUCCUUCUGCUGUGACCUCUAGAGGCGGCCACAUCGUAUCAGAAGCAUAAUAAAUGUUCAGAAUACUGUGCAAGUUGUUUAUAAAAAAAUUUUCUCUGGUUUCUAAGUGUCGUCUGCGCAUGCAAGAAGAAAAUGUAUGAAGAGUAUGUAAUAUUGGUUCCUGCGCUCAUUCUGAAUUGACCUCUGGAAGCGGUCAAAUCUGUAAACCCAAUUAUUUUAAAUAUUAAAUUUAUCUGGAAUAUUCUUUUAUAUUUAUUCACACAAAUUUAAUACAGUAUCAGAAGCAUAAUUAAUGUUCAGAAUACUGCGUACGUUGAGUAUAUAAAAAAAAUGUUCUCUUGUUUAUAAGUUUCGUCUGUGCAUGCGCCAAAAAAGGGAUAACUAGGGUGAAAUAUUGGUUCCUGCGCUCAUUCUGCUCUGACCUCUAAAAGCGACCACAUCGGUAAAUCGUAUUAUUUUAUGUAUUAAAUUUAUCUGGAAUAUACUUUUAUAGUUAUUCACACAAAUUUAUUACAGUAUCAGAAGCAUAAUAAAUGUUCGGAAUACUGCGUACGUUGAGUAUAUAAAAAAAUUUUCUCUUGUUUAUAAGUGCGUCUGCGCAUGCGCGAAAAAUGGAUAAAUAGCGUGAAAUAUUGCUUCCUGUGCUCAUUCUGCUGUGACCUCUAGAGGCGACCACAUCGGUAAAUCGUAUUAUUUUAUGUAUUAAAUUUAUCUGGAAUAUACGUUUAUAGUUAUUCACACAAAUUUAUUACAGUAUCAGAAGCAUAAGAAAUGUUCGGAAUACGGCGUACGUUGAGUAUAUAAAAAAAUUUACUCUUGUUUAUAAGUGUCGUCCCCUGAUGCGCGAAAAAAUGGAUAAAUAGCGUGAAAUAUUGCUUCCUGUGCUCAUUCUGCAGUGAUCUCUAGAGGCGGC